UUAUAAAUUCCACUGGCGGUUUGGACGCUUGCCUGUCUUACUUGACCGUCCUGGGCCCUAACUACAUCGAUCACGCGUCCCUUUGGCCAACUGUUCCGCGGCAAACAAUUGUCGACUACUAUCACUACAUCUCCCACCUGAAUCGGCCGCACCGACACAAACCACUUAGAUCGACGGGUCAGCGUGGGGAGGUAUUCCGAUACCCAUCUCCUCCAGAAUACGUCAGCGUUGCGUUGGGCGGCUCUCCACGCUGAUUUAGCGGCGAUACCACUGUCGUCAAAUACGGCGGGCGGCUUGCACCCGUUGGAGCUUCCGAGUAGUAGAUGGUUUGGUGUGAUCGGUGUGUCCAUCUCGUCGUCCAACGGCACGUAGACCGGACCAGUCUCUCCCAGCAUCCGCCGAAAUGUGGUGCGGCUGGCGGAUUAAAACUCCAUUUCAUCUCGGGCCCAACGAAUUCGUCCAUCAUCGCGUUAACAUCCACUGUCUGCAAGGCUUCCUCGAGCUCCCGAGCCGACCCGACGAAAUUGGUUCCCCUAUCGCUGAUGAUCUCUAUCGGUUUUCCGCGCCUAGCGAUGAAGCGCCGAAUCGCCAUAAUGCAGGACGCCGUUGUGAGGGAGUGAGCCAUCUCCAAAUGGAUAGCUCUGCACGUCAGACAGGAGCUCGUACCGUUUCAUCGUUGCAGCUUUGUUACAUGGCAAUCGGACGUCAUCAUAUCUCCAUAGUAAGCCCGUUUCGAAUCGAUCGCCCUGCAGUUUGGUUUCUCGGUUAAGUAUCACCAGGGCACGUUCAUCGUCCUUGGAUUUGAGUAAGCGUGAUGGCUUAGUGAUACCCAGUGAAUCCAACGAGAAGAACGCCUUAACCUCGCUUGUGAGUACACCAUCGACGUUACCUUCGCAGCUGCAGAUGUGAAAACUUCUGUGUCCUCCGGUUACACUAGCGGUUGCAAUAGGGCAGGCGGCUUUCCCAAACGACAAUUAUCUACACCAAUUAGUACUCGAGGUACGGCAUCGACGUAAGAGGUGAACGGUAAACCCUUCAGAUGUGGAUACGCAGAUUGCAGUUGUUUACCAUCUAUCGUCUGCGCGGGCAAGGCUAGAUUGCUGACCGUGUGUACCUUUGUCAGCUCAUGCACUGGAGCCCCUUCGUAUGCACCUGAUAUUUGCACUGCCAGCUGGACGGAAGCCUUUUCUUCUCUGGUAGUAUCCCCGGUCCACUUGAGACACAAUGGCCGUGACGUUCCGAUCAGCCCUAAUUCGUCCAUCAGGCUAUGAUCGAUGAAGGUCGAUGACGAACCUUCGUCGAGAAAGGCGUACGUUCGAACCGUCCUGCCAUCCUUCCCAUACAUAGUUACCGAGAACCAUGUAGCAACCUAUGGUGCAUUGCCUCGCACCCAUUGGAUCCGCAAACUGUUUUAAGCGACGGUCAUCGUUUGGAAUCGCUGGCAUGUAUCCAGUGCGGCACACUCUCCCUGGCAGGCUGAACAUUUAGAAACAUUUGUAUGUGGGUACUUACCGCUCGUGGUGGCGGCGUGCAUGUUCAAACGUGCGGUGGUGGGCUGGCGCUGAUCUGGUCGUACCGGUUUCACACUGCUCCGACGAUCCGAGUCGCCGGAUCCACUGCGUUCGAAACGUUCGCUCUUCACCGGAACUACCCUGCUGAGUGCUGCAGCCAACUCGCCGAUCCACCUUCCGAAGUCCGACAGCGUAACAGAGGGCAGCUG